GGGAAUAACUCAACGGUAGAGUGUCAGCUUCCCAAGCUGAAGGUUGCGGGUUCAAAUCCCGUUUCCC
rnacentral:tRNA from 6 species